AUCGAUUGCUGUUGUGAAAAAAAAUGGAAACUGAAUCAUUUCGAAUUGGUUUUGAGCUGUUUUGAGGUGUUCAGCAAAUAAAAAUCCCACCGAAGCUGAAAUUCGAUCGUUUGGGUGUGCGGCAUUUCAACAUCGGUGAAUAACGUGCUACAAUCGGCAAAUGAAUCCGGAUGACGAACUCUGGAUUACCCUGGCUUCGGAGUAAAAUCUCUGAAAAACAAAUAUGUGUUUGAGCCAUUGGAACCGGAAUGUUGUUUCCAUCGCCCACCGGGAAAAGAUUACAGGUAGCUGGCAGCAAUACGGUACCGUAUCACAUCUGGCUGUACGGAACAUCCAAGGACUAAUCAUUCAAUGCCAGUCAGAAUCCCGAAAGCGAACGCAGGUAACCAGCGUAUGUUCAAAUUACCCUAUCGACGCCGAAAAACACCGACGCUGAAAUUUGAGCGUUUGCCUGUUUGGCGAUUUAACACCGGCGAAUAACACACUCUUGUUUCGUAUCGUCGUAGUGGAGGAGUUCCUUUCGGCUGGUCGGAAUAUCCAAGGAUUAAUCAUGAUUUGCACCAUGUAGGCAAUUCCAGCCGGAAUCCCGAAAGAGAAUGCAGGUACCCAGCAGCGUAGGUAAAAAUGAUCAAACAAAAAUACCAUCGAAGCUGAAAUUCUAAUGUUUGACUCUUCUGCGUUUCAACACCGGCGACAGAACAACAAUAAUCGGCGUAUAACACCUGCAGAGCCACCGGAAACAAAAUAUUAUUUUCAUUGCCAGGCAGGGUUCGCUGGUACCAUAUCGCAUCCGGCUAUUCGGAAUAUCCAAGGAUUAAUCAUGAUUUGCACCAUGUAAGCACUGCUAGUCGGUAUUCCGGAAGAGAACGCUGGUGCCCAGCAGACUAAAUGAUCUAAUCGACGACAAUCAAAUGAAAAUAAUACCACCGAAGUCGAAAUUCGAGCGUUUGGCUGUUCGGCGUUUUAACACCGGUAACAGAACAACAAUAAGCGGCGAAUAACGCCGGCAGAUUCGUACACUCGCAUCGGAGCGAAUUCCUUGUAAGAAAACGCAUAUGUGUAUUAGCCACCGGAACCAUGAUGUCGUUUCUAUCGCCUACAACGGAAUAGAUGAAAAGAAGCUGUCAGCAAUUCGGUACCGUAUAGCAUCCGGCUGUAAGGAAUAUCAGGAUUAAUUUUGUCUUCAGGAUUUGCACCCCAUAAUCAAUGCCAAUGAAUCAUUGGCAGUGGCUGA